UGCUCCGGCAGUCCGCACGGUAUCGAUUUGGAUACGCAGAGAAACCCCUGGACAGGCGUAGGCAUCGAUUAUUAUUAGAAACGGCCGAAACGCGCAGUCGAUCGACCGAAUCAGCACCUACGUUCUACAACAACGCUUCCGCAAUAAACGCGCCCCAACUCACGCGGAUGUGAAAUAUAAAAGCAACAGGUCGCGAGAGUUAUUGGCCGACUACGAAUGACAAGACAGAAGACACCUAAUCGGGCGAUGGCUAUGAAGAGCCGGAGAGGACGACAUGGUCGCGCAGGACAUCGAGACGGCACGGUGUUGUCACGAUUAAGACAAGUGUCGUAAAUAAGAAUAAGUAAUCGCAAGCGUGACUUUCGAUGUAGCACCGACGUUUGUCGAGGACGUCGUCGAGGACGGCGACCGCGAGGCCGCAUAGAGGAAGCUUCGCAGAGAAGGCAGAGAAGAGAAGAAGACGAAGAAGUGGCGCUCGGGCAUCGGGACGUCUUGUCGCUGGCAUUGGUAGCAGUCUCGAGAUAGCCGUCGGCUGGCUUCCUCACUGGCUCGGGCGAUUUAUUCGGGGAUUCCUAGGUGGCCGAAGUGGCGAGAGCGACCGACCGACCGACGUUGACGACGACGGCGACGACAACGACGUCCGCAAGCCGGCGAAGAGGAUCGUCACGCUCUCGUUCUCAGCAGACGGAGAGAACGAUCAUCUCACGCACAAUAAUAAUGUAACAUUGAACACGACGACAUGGCAUUCAGUUCGCGAAUGAGCACAACAUCCAAAAGAAAAAAAGAAUUUUCGUUGGAGCUAAGUCGCACCACUAUCACCAGCGGGACUGGGAUUCAACGGGAAGUAACCAAGGAGGUCGUGCGCUCCACGGGCAAGGUGAGUACUGAUUUCGCACUCUGAAUAAGAGAAAUUCAAUUCACUUUGCGUCGUGCGCGAAGAGGAAGAAACAAAGAACGUGAGAGAUACCGAGAGGAGACGGUUUCAUUGCGCGGAUUCAGUUGAGAUGACGAGUCAAACGCUCGCGUUUGGAUUAGUUUAUAUGAAAGCGCGGUGAUACCGCUUAUUUACGGAGACAUAGAGAGCGAUUUAUAUCGCGCACGCGAUGUUGAAUGCGCGGAAUUGGAACAAGUGAUACGUUUGUGUCACGCCCGAAUGAAUGAUAGCGGCUCUGAUGGACUAUUGUGUAAAACACCAGACCACCUUUGAACGACUGCCCGAAACACAAACAAUAACCGCACGUGUCACCGUUACCGUCGCGUCCGAGAAACUCGAGUGUAAAAACGAAUUGUAAAAAUAUUACAUACUCGAGACUCUUUCUUCUGUCUCCAACCUGUCAAGCGCGUGUAAUUCAAGUAUCCUUGGAAAGGUUACGCGUUUUUUUCUCUUUACAUUCUUCCCUCGUCACCGUCUUGUCGGUUUGGUGGAAAAAUCUGGGAACCACUGAUCGAAACGGUAGCCGAAGGCGAGAUGCAUGACGGAGGUAGAUGGAAUACCUGAUUCGAUGCCAAGAGUCGAAAGUCUACGCACCGUUGUCGAGUGCGUCUUCGUCGUUCACGCAAUGUCUUUUCCCUUUCAUUUUCUUCUUUCUUUUUUUUACGAUUUUCUUUUUUGUCCGUCACCAUCUCUCCCUUUUCCCUCCUCUCUCUCUCUCUCUCUCUCUCUCUCUCUCUUUCUCUCUCUCUCUCUCAUCGUAAGAGAUCAAUAUGAUUGAAGAGAACCGACAAACUCUUCAAUUAACAAUUGAACUUGGCAAAUUUAAUUGACGAUUGAUAUGGUAGGUUAUAAGUUAUUUCGCGUUAGCGUAGAGAGCACU